rnacentral:rRNA from 1 species
AACACGUAGCCAACCUGCCCUGGAGUUUGGGAUAACGCCCCGAAAGGGGUGCUAAGACCGGAUACGCUCGGACGAUGUAGAGGCGUCCGAGGAAAAACUUUGGUUGCUCUGGGAGGGGGCUGCGGCCCAUCAGGCAGUUGGUGGGGUAACGGCCUACCAAGCCGACGACGGGUCGGGGGUCUGAGAGGAUGAUCCCCCACACUGGGACUGAGACACGGCCCAGACUCCUACGGGAGGCAGCAGUGAGGAAUCUUGCACAAUGGGGGCAACCCUGAUGCAGCGACGCCGCGUGGGCGAUGAAGGUCUUCGGAUCGUAAAGCCCUUUUCUGCGUGACGAGACAAGGACGGUAGCGCAGGAAGAAGCGUCGGCUAACUACGUGCCAGCAGCCGCGGUAAAACGUAGGACGCAAGCGUUAUCCGGAGUUACUGGGCGUAAAGGGCGUGUAGGCGGCUAUUCAAGUGGCUCGUGAAAGACUUCGGCUCAACCGGGGGAGGUCGGGUCAGACUGGAUGGCUGGAGGAUGUCAGAGGGACACGGAAUUCCGGGUGUAGUGGUGAAAUGCGUAGAGAUCCGGAGG